rnacentral:sRNA from 1 species
GCUAGGCAUGGUGGUGCAUGCCUGUAAUCCCAGUGGCUCAGGAAGCUGAGGCAGGAGGAUCACAAGUUAAAAGCCAGCCUCAG